UAAGAUUCAUCUGAACUGGAUGUGACUUGGACGAGGCAACUUGUAUUGGGUGGGACCCAAUCUAGUUCAACACCCCACGACGCAACCCUCCAGGUGAACCCUGACUCGGGCAAGUUGAGCAAUUCAGCCCCAACUAGGGUGAGUCAUGACUCGACUCAGGGCAAACGAGUUGAUCCCAGCUGGAUCUUCUAACCAUGUUCCGGGCAUUCCCCGUUAGAGCUGUUCUAAGCUGACAUGCAUGUGCAAGUCAACUAAUGCAUGCACCUCCAUAUAUGCCAACUUGGCACACAGGUAAAAUAUCCAAGCCCCACUCAUCAUGUGGAUGUUUAGAUGCUACUGGUGAAAGAUAAAGGUGGUCUGCUCAGUAGUUGUGCCAUGAUAUUAGAAAUAAGUGGAUGUGUUAAAAAACUUCAGACAGGUCUUUCAUAGCUAUAGAUUCGUUCAGUUGAUUGUGGCCCGACUAGAGGACUGACCUGAUUCUUGGGAUACGAAAUCUACAGUUUACCCUUCUGAUGGAUGGCUUGGAUAUUACACCUGUCUGCCAUGCCAGCAUGUGGUAGUGUGUGCAUUAGCUCACUUAUACAUGCAGGUGAGCUUAGCAAACCUCUUUCCCUUCCUCAGGUGGGCUCUACAAAGAAGGUGCACAUUUCUACCAGGCAGUGAACCUGCUUCUGAACAUCAUUAGAUUAUUUUCUGAUGGUGAUCUUUUCUCUAUAGAACGUGAUGCACUGUAUACCCUAGAAACUAUCUAGAACUUAAGGCAUUGCCACUAAUCACUGGCAUGUCCUACUUGUAAUUGACAAGCAAAUGGAGAUUUUCUUUUCAUGAUGGUCAGCUCUGCUUACACAUUUUUCAGGUCAUAGAUACUCGUGGUCAGUAGCUGUUCCACUUAGAAAGUGGGUACUUGUGGCUACUGAUGGUCCUCCUUACGAAAAUCGUCCAGACGUUUAUUUUGGCCCUACAAACCAUAUGGAUGAUGGAAUAUAUGAAGCUGUUGCAGGAAAUGACUUUGUCAUUACUAGAGUUGCAUUUCGAGACAACUCUUCAAAGUACUACAUAAAUGACCGUGGAAGUAAUUUUACAGAGGUCAUUAAGAAAUUGAAAGGAAAAGGAGUGGACUUGGACAACAAUCAGUUUUUGAUUCUUCAGGGUGAAGUCGAGCAAAUUUCUCUAAUGAAGCCAAAGAUUUGUAUUUUUAACAUUAUUGUAAUUGUAAUUGUAAUUGAUUGAAUGAAGGAUUGUAAUUGAUUGUAAUUGAAUAAAUGAAUGAUUGUAAUUGAAUGAAUGAACAAUUGUAAUUGAA